GCUGGCGGCAGGCCUAACACAUGCAAGUCGAGCGGUAACAUUUCUAGCUUGCUAGAAGAUGACGAGCGGCGACGGGUGAGUAACGCGUAGAAAUCUACCUAGUAGUGGGGGAUAGCCCAGAGAAAUUUGGAUUAAUACCGCAUACGCCCUACGGGGGAAAGCGGGGGAUCUUCGGACCUCGUGCUAUUAGAUGAGUCUGCGUCGGAUUAGCUUGUUGGUGAGGUAAUGGCUCACCAAGGCGACGAUCCGUAGCUGGUCUGAGAGGAUGACCAGCCACACUGGAACUGAGACACGGUCCAGACUCCUACGGGAGGCAGCAGUGGGGAAUAUUGCACAAUGGGCGCAAGCCUGAUGCAGCCAUGCCGCGUGUGUGAAGAAGGCCUUAGGGUUGUAAAGCACUUUCAGCAGUGAGGAAAGGGGUGUCGUUAAUAGCGCCAUCCUGUGACGUUAACUGCAAGAAGGACCGGCUAACUCCGUG
rnacentral:rRNA from 1 species